UUUAUUCUCUUUACUGUUAUAUUCUCAUUCUUAAUAACCAUAUUCUUUCAUUAUUUCUACUGAGUUUGCUUCCUAAUCUCCUUUACUGUUUCGAUAGUUAAUUCCUAACACUCAAUAAUGUUGUCAAUCCCCGACAGCGGUGUCAAAAUGUGAUUGCUCGUUUUACUUAUUCCGGAAGAAAUCUCCCAGCAUAAAUUCAUAUAAGGAGAUU
rnacentral:lncRNA from 1 species